AGAAAAUGAAACUUUAUUAUUUACUUGACUACAAACAAUCAAACACAUGAAUGUGAUACAUCAUACUACAUACACUGUCCUCCCCCAACCCCCCCAGCAUUUAAUACUUGGGGUGUGUUGUGGGAAAUCAACUAAAGGAAGCCUCUUCUAAACUUGCUCCCCAGUAAUAAAACUACUGAAGCUAAUUUAAUUGUUGUAGAUUAUGCUAAUAUUGUUUAAAAACAAACAAACCAUGAACUCCCUGAAAUUACACAAUUAAAACACACACAAUUUUAUCCUUGGACAAUGUUCCACUCCUUUAUUCCACAGGUUGUAGCUUGUUUUCCAGACCCUUUCACAUGGCUGUGUAGUUAGUGAUUGAUAUUAUUUCAAAUCAUCUAACUACACUGCCUGGUGACCAGGUUGAUAAAAUCUAUGAAUAUGUCCAGAUUGAGAGAGCUAGGAUUAAAUUCAUCGAAGUGGAUCAAGAUAUAAUAAAGGCUCCUCCCCACACAUUACCCUUAAAACAAAUAUUGAAAAUCCAAAUGACUCUAAGACCUUGGUUGACAAAUGUUAGUAAAUACAGAAGCAAUGCACAUUUAGGAGCAUUUUCAUUAACUCAGUAUAUGGCAUUAUAACAUAUUUAAAAAGUAAGGAGCCAGUGGUGAUAUUUCAAACUGACAUUUGUGCUGUUUACAAGCACUGUCAAAAGGCUUUUAUGCCAACAUAUCUAAGCUUUGAUUAACAUUAAUGUUUACAGAAAGGGAUACAUUUCCAUCUCUCUUUUAGCGUUUUAGAAGUAGAAUCAGAUCAACUAAUGGGAAAUAUAUGAAAGAACCAGAGGACUAUUUUCAAAUAUCAGUGAUUUUAGAGGGGAGAAAUGUACAUUCCUUAUUGUCUUGAGUAACCAAUUAAAAGGUCAUUGUACUUUGUUUGGCUUUUUUCCUUUAUACGGCUCUAGAUGGUGAUAGGAAAAAUUAAACACGUUUUUAAAAUGC